AAUACUUAGGAAUCUACCUAUUAAUGGGGGACAACAUUUCGAAAGGAACGCUAAUACCGCAUACGCCCUACGGGGGAAAGCAGGGGAUCUUCGGACCUUGCGUUAAUAGAUGAGCCUAAGUCGGAUUAGCUAGUUGGUGGGGUAAAGGCCUACCAAGGCGACGAUCUGUAGCGGGUCUGAGAGGAUGAUCCGCCACACUGGGACUGAGACACGGUCCAGACUCCUACGGGAGGCAGCAGUGGGGAAUAUUGGACAAUGGGGGAAACCCUGAUCCAGCCAUGCCGCGUGUGUGAAGAAGGUCUUCGGAUUGUAAAGCACUUUAAGUUGGGAGGAAGGGUAGUAACUUAAUACGUUGCUACUUUGACGUUACCGACAGAAUAAGCACCGGCUAACUCUGUGCCAGCAGCCGCGGUAAUACAGAGGGUGCAAGCGUUAAUCGGAAUUACUGGGCGUAAAGCGCGCGUAGGUGGUUUGUUAAGUUGGAUGUGAAAGCCCCGGGCUCAACCUGGGAACUGCAUCCAAAACUGGCAAGCUAGAGUACGGUAGAGGGUGGUGGAAUUUCCUGUGUAGCGGUGAAAUGCGUAGAUAUAGGAAGG
rnacentral:rRNA from 1 species